GGUAGAGUAGGUGCUCUGCGUUAAGUGGUAAGGGAUGGAACGUUGCCCUUAGACGAAAGCUUUUUAAGCUGCGUUAGAUCACCGCGUUCGCUACU
rnacentral:ncRNA from 1 species